rnacentral:rRNA from 1 species
CCUACGGGAGGCUGCAGUAGGGAAUAUUGCUCAAUGGGGGAAACCCUGAACCAGCAACGCCGCGUGGAGGAUGAAGGUUUUCGGAUUGUAAACUCCUUUUGUUAGAAAAGAUAAUGACGGUAUCUAACGAAUAAGCACCGGCUAACUCCGUGCCAGCAGCCCCGGUAAUACUGAGGGUGCAAGCGUUACUCGGAAUCACUGGGCGUAAAGAGAGCGUAGGCGGGAUAGCAAGUCGGAUGUGAAAUCCUAUGGCUUAACCAUAGAACUGCAUUUGAAACUGUUAUUCUAGAGUAUGGGAGAGGUAGGUGGAAUUCUUGGUGUAGGGGUAAAAGCCGUAGAGAUUAAGAGGAAUACUCAUUGCGAAGGCGACCUGCUAGAACAUAACUGACGCUGAUGCGCGAAAGCGUGGGGAGCAAACAGGAUUAGAUACCCUAGUAGUC